rnacentral:pre_miRNA from 1 species
AGUGGAAUAGCUGGGUCAAAUGGUUGUUCUAUUCCAAGUUUUCUAAGGAAUCUCCAUACUACUUUCCAGAUUGGGUGUACCAAUUUGUAGUCCCACCAGCAAU